CUGGCAACGCUCCUUGGUCAGGGUGAGGCAGAUCAGGCCCCGCCCGAAACGGGCCAUGAAAUUGAUCGCCGCCGGGGUGAUCUUCUCCGCCGCCAUAAUUA
rnacentral:antisense_RNA from 1 species